rnacentral:ncRNA from 1 species
UGAAGCCGCCGUAUAUAUUGUCGCCGUUAAGGCGAUGACGAUGCAGGAAGCCGGUGUGAGUCCGGCGCGGUCCCGCCACUGUCAUCGGGGAGCGACCCUCAUCGGCCACGGCCAGCCGGCUGGAAGGCGAGGCGAGCAGCGAUCCGAAAGCCAGGACACUGCCGUCAUCGCGUCCUGCGAA